rnacentral:rRNA from 1 species
AUUGAACGCUGGCGGCAGGCCUAACACAUGCAAGUCGAGCGGAUGAAGGGAGCUUGCUCCUGGAUUCAGCGGCGGACGGGUGAGUAAUGCCUAGGAAUCUGCUUGGUAGUGGGGGAUAACGUCCGGAAACGGGCGCUAAUACCGCAUACGUCCUGAGGGAGAAAGUGGGGGAUCUUCGGACCGCACGCUAGCAUAUGGGCCUAGGUCGGAUUAGCUAGUUGGUGGGGUAAAGGCCUACCAAGGCGACGAUCCGUAACUGGUCUGAGAGGAUGAUCAGUCACACUGGAACUGAGACACGGUCAAGACUCCUACGGGAGGCAGCAGUGGGGAAUAUUGGACAAUGGGCGAAAGCCUGAUCCAGUCAUGCCGCGUGUGUGGAGAAGGUCUUCGGAUUGUAAAGCACUUUAAGUUGGGAGGAAGGGCAGUAAGUUAAUACCUUGCUGUUUUGACGUUACCAACAGAAUAAGCACCGGCUAACUUCGUG